rnacentral:rRNA from 1 species
AUUGAACGCUAGCGGCAGGCCUAACACAUGCAAGUCGAACGAGUGGCGGACGGGUGAGUAAUGACUGGGAAACUGCCUGAUGGAGGGGGAUAACUACUGGAAACGGUAGCUAAUACCGCAUACCAUCGGAUGUGCCCAGAUGGGAUUAGUUAGUAGGUGGGGAAAAGGCUCACCUAGGCGACGAUCCCUGGCUGGUCUGAGAGGAGAACCAGCCACACUGGAACUGAGAAACGGUCCAGACUCCGACGGGAGUCAGCAUUGUGGAAUGUUGCACAAUGGGCGACAGCCUGAUGCAGCCCAGCCGCGUGUGUGAAGAAGUUCUUCGGAUUGUAAAGCACUUUAAGUUGGGAGUCGUUACCAACAGAAUAAGCACCGGCUAACUUCGUGCCAGCAGCCGCGGUAAUAC